rnacentral:rRNA from 1 species
UAGGGAAUCUUCCGCAAUGGACGCAAGUCUGACGGAGCAACGCCGCGUGAGUGAGGAAGGCCUUCGGGUCGUAAAGCUCUGUUGCCCUAGACGAACGCUUGGGAGAGUAACUGCUCUUGAGGUGACGGUAUAGGAGAAGAAAGCCCCGGCUAACUACGUGCCAGCAGCCGCGGUAAUACGUAGGGGGCAAGCGUUGUCCGGAAUUAUUGGGCGUAAAGCGCGCGCAGGCGGUUUGUUAAGUCUUCUGUUUAAUCCCCGGGCUCAACCUGGGUACGCAGAGGAAACUGGCAGACUGGAGUGCAGGAGAGGAAAGUGGAAUUCCACGUGUAGCGGUGAAAUGCGUAGAGAUGUGGAGGAACACCAGUGGCGAAGGCGACUUUCUGGCCUGUAACUGACGCUGAGGCGCGAAAGCGUGGGGAGCAAACAGG